UACGUAGGGGGCAAGCGUUAUCCGGAUUUACUGGGUGUAAAGGGAGCGUAGACGGCUGUGCAAGUCUGGAGUGAAAGGCAUGGGCUCAACCUGUGGACUGCUUUGGAAACUGUGCGGCUUGAGUGUCGGAGAGGCAAGUGGAAUUCCUAGUGUAGCGGUGAAAUGCUUAGAGAUCAUACAGAACACCGAUUGCGAAGGCAGCUUACCAAGCUACUUCUGACGUUGAGGCACGAAAGCGUGGGGAGCAAACAGG
rnacentral:rRNA from 1 species